GCUGCCAUCGAUGCACUUGGGAGAAGUCAAAGAAGUCCGCCUUGCUGCAUUGCAGGGGACUAUUGUACUUGAAAGUUGCAGUCUGACUGUUCCCGCCCACUUGAAUGAAAUUCCAGCUAGAAUUGUUGUGGGCUUUUCAAGGGUAAAAUAACGAACAACCAAGUGUAGUUUUGCUAGGCAACCUUGCAGAUUACCGAACUCAACCCAUUUUCAUCAUUAUCACAUCCUUUUGGAUGAUAUGUCUUCGGACUUGUGUAUAUUGUGGAGUUUGCUCCAAGCGCUAAGGUCGA
rnacentral:lncRNA from 1 species